AUGUUAGAUGUUCCACCAACAGCCCAAAAUUAUGCCGCGUACUGGCGGGGAGCACUUUAUGUCUACCAGCAUGAAUUUCUUAUGAAAAUAAACUUGUCAAAUAGCAAGUACCAACUGAUUGACCUGCCGAAAGGUUGUGAUCCACAUUCUGAAAACUUUUAUAUAGGAAGAUCGGAGAAAGGAGUUUAUUGUGGUUUCCUUUAUGCAUUUGACGGCUUAUGUUACGGAUAUGAUGGGUAUGGACUUAAGGUUUUGUUACUCGAUGAAUCCUGCAGCAAGAUGAAGUGGGUGCUGCACGACAUCAAUCUUAAGCCUCUCUUGGCAGAUUUUCCAUGGAAUUACGAUAAUAAGCCCUGGACCACCGAAUAUGGCAAUGUCGAUGAUCACGGCGACGCCAACAAAGCACCAAUUAAAGAGGAAUUUGAUUGGGGUUUCGACUACUAUAAGCCACAAGAUGCUGCAUAUAUCCCCCGUCGAUAUGCCCUUUCUCUACUUGGAUUUCACCCUAACCAUGAGGUCGUCUUCGUCCAUACACCCUCUAAAAGAGUAGUGGCUUAUCAUUUCGAUUGCUCCAAUAUUGAAGACCUGGGGUGCUUCCCCACGGAAAGUCCCUAUGAUAUAAGCAUGUCUUUUCCAUACACACCAUGCCAGAUCGGUGAACUAUCAGACAACUAG
rnacentral:rRNA from 1 species